CUUCAAGAGAUGCGGUGCCAAGCUCCGACUGGCCGCACGCCAACCCCAUGCUUCACGGGUGGUUCGGAUGAGGAAGCGGCCGGCGGAAACCUCCGUUGGCAAGAGCAAGCA
rnacentral:ncRNA from 2 species